UACGUAGGGUCCGAGCGUUGUUCGGAAUUACUGGGCGUAAAGGGCUCGUAGGCGGUCUGUUGCGUCGGGAGUGAAAACUUACAGCUUAACUGUGAGCGUGCUUCCGAUACUGGCAGACUUGAGGUAUUCAGGGGAGAACGGAAUUCCUGGUGUAGCGGUGAAAUGCGCAGAUAUCAGGAGGAACACCGGUGGCGAAGGCGGUUCUCUGGGAAUAUCCUGACGCUGAGGAGCGAAAGUGUGGGGAGCGAACAGG
rnacentral:rRNA from 1 species